UGGCGGACGGGUGAGUAACGCGUGGAAAACCUGCCGUAUACUGGGGGAUAACACUUAGAAAUAGGUGCUAAUACCGCAUAAGCGCACAGCUUCGCAUGAAGCGGUGUGAAAAACUCUGGUGGUAUACGAUGGUUCCGCGUCUGAUUAGCUAGUUGGUGGGGUAAUGGCCUACCAAGGCAACGAUCAGUAGCCGGCCUGAGAGGGUGAACGGCCACAUUGGGACUGAGCACGGCCCAAACUCCUACGGAAGGCAGCAG
rnacentral:rRNA from 1 species